UGGGGAAUAUUGCACAAUGGGCGCAAGCCUGAUGCAGCCAUGCCGCGUGUAUGAAGAAGGCCUUCUGGUUGUAAAGUACUUUCAGCGGGGAGGAAGGCGAUAAGGUUAAUAACCUUGUCGAUUGACGUUACCCGCAGAAGAAGCACCGGCUAACUCCGUGCCAGCAGCCGCGGUAAUACGGAGGGUGCAAGCGUUAAUCGGAAUUACUGGGCGUAAAGCGCACGCAGGCGGUCUGUCAAGUCGGAUGUGAAAUCCCCGGGCUCAACCUGGGAACUGCAUUCGAAACUGGCAGGCUAGAGUCUUGUAGAGGGGGGUAGAAUUCCAGGUGUAGCGGUGAAAUGCGUAGAGAUCUGGAGGAAUACCGGUGGCGAAGGCGGCCCCCUGGACAAAGACUGACGCUCAGGUGCGAAAGCGUGGGGAGCAAACA
rnacentral:rRNA from 1 species